UACGGAAGCAGCAGUGGGGAAUAUUGCACAAUGGGCGAAAGCCUGAUGCAGCUAUGCCGCGUGUAUGAAGAAGGCCUUAGGGUUGUAAAGUACUUUCAUCGGGGAGGAAAAACAAAACUAAUAAUUUUAUUUCUUGACGUUACCCGAAAAAGAAGCACCGGCUAACUCCGUGCCAGCAGCCGCGGUAAUACGGAGGGUGCUAGCGUUAAUCAGAAUUACUGGGCGUAAAGAGCACGUAGGUGGUUUUUUUAAGUCAGAUGUGAAAUCCCUGGGCUUAACCUGGAACUGCAUUUUGAAACUGAAAUACUAGAGUAUCGUAGAGGGAGGUAGAAUUCUAGGUGUAGCGGUGAAAUGCGUAGAUAUCUGGAGGAAUACCUGUGGCGAAAGCGGCCUCCUAAACGAAUACUGACACUGAGGUGCGAAAGCGUGGGGAGCGAAACAGGGAUUAGGAU
rnacentral:rRNA from 1 species